AUGUUCACUGGAACUAUACGGUUAAAAAAGUCGUAUUUCGAAAUCUUCGACUGGGCCGGAUGGACGUAAUAGACGCGAUUUCGUAACAGAAGGCCGCCGAAUCCGACAUUCGAAUGAUUUGGAACAAUCCGGAUGAGUUUGAUUAGAUGACGUUAGUCUGGAUCGUUCGGAGCAAGCAGUAAGUCCCUCCUUCCAACAAGACUACCUUAUUGGAAUUUGAGUCUGGUG
rnacentral:lncRNA from 1 species